UCGAAGCUAGGAUAAGCCAGAAAGGUGGCACA
rnacentral:piRNA from 2 species